rnacentral:rRNA from 1 species
ACGGGUGAGUAAUGUAUCGGAACGUGCCCAGUAGCGGGGGAUAACUACGCGAAAGCGUAGCUAAUACUGCAUACGCCCUACGGGGGAAAGGGGGGGACCUUCGGGCCUCGCACUAUUGGAGCGGCCGAUAUCGGAUUAGCUAGUUGGUGGGGUAACGGUUCACCAAGGCGACGAUCCGUAGCUGGUUUGAGAGGACGACCAGCCACACUGGGACUGACACACGGCCCAAACUCCUACGGGAGGCAGCAGUGGGGAAUUUUGGACAAUGGGGGCAACCCUGAUCCAGCCAUCCCGCGUGUGCGAUGAAGGCCUUCGGGUUGUAAAGCACUUUUGGCAGGAAAGAAACGGCGCUGGUUAAUACCUGGCGCAACUGACGGUACCUGCAGAAUAGGCACCGGCUAACUACGUGCCAGCAGCCGCGGUAAUACAUAGGGUGCAAGCGUUAAUCCCAAUUACUGGCCGCAAAGCGUGCGCAGGCGCUUCGAACAGAAAGAUGUGAAAUCCCAAGGCUUAUCCUUGGAGCUGCAUUUUUAACUACCGGGUUAGAGAGUGUCAGAGGGAGGUGGAGUUCCUCGUGUAUCAUUGAAAUGCGUAGAUAUGCGGAGGAACACCGAUGGCGAAGGCAGCCUCCUGGGAUAACACUGACGCUCAUGCACGACGAAAGCGUGGGGAGCAAACAGGAUUAGAUACCCUGGUAGUCCACGCCCUAAACGAUGUCAACUAGCUGUUGGGGCCUUCGGGCCUUGGUAGCGCAGCUAACGCGUGAAGUUGACCGCCUGGGGAGUACGGUCGCAAGAUUAAA